ACUCACUAAUGCAUUUCUCAAGUGACCACACUUAACUAUAUUCAAAACACAAGUCCACAUUUCAAGUACCUACACUUCACCAUUUUCAACCAACUAAGUCACCUAACAAAACCACAUUCCAAAAGAAAAAUCCCAUUUCAAGUCCCUACACUUCACCAUUUUCAACCAACUAAGUCACCUAACAAAACCACAUUGCAAAACAAAAAUCUCUUUUAAAGUCCCUACACUAAACAAUUUUCGAGCAACCAAGUCACCAAACAAAACCACAUUCCAAAUCAAAAAAGUCUUUUAAAGUCACUAAACUUAACCAUUUUCAACCAACUAAGUGACCUAACAAAACCACAUUGCAAAACAAAAAUCUCUUUUAAAGUCCCUACAUGUAACAAUUUCGAAGCAUCUGAGUGUCAAAACAAAACAACAUUCAAAAACAAAAAUCUAUUUUAAAGUCCCUACACUUAACCAUUUUGAACCAACCAAGUCAC
rnacentral:lncRNA from 1 species